AUUAAAAGUUAUAGAUGGAUUUAGAAAUUUCUAUUAAAUCUUAUUAAAAUCGCAAGAAAUAAUAAUGCUAGGGAACAUUAAGAGAAUGCUGAAUACAAAAGCGGCUUCUUUAAAGAAUUUUUCAAGACAAAAUUUUAUAACUGAAUCAUAUAUAGAUAUCAUAUAGAUAUAUUAGAAA